UUACGGUCGCACCACGUUGAAACACCGGUUCCCGUAAGAUCACUGGAGUUAAGCAAAAUUGAACCCGGUCAGUACCAAGACGGGUGACCGCUUGUGAAUACUAAAUGCUGUAAG